UUCACUUCUAAAUUAUCCCACCUUCAUUCAUUUUCCUUUGCAUCAUCCAUGAUAAUAAGUCAUUUUUUUGGGCCUUUGGCCAUUGUUACUCAUACUUGCUUUAGCAUAUCACCACCAUUUAAAUUGGAGCUUUGAGUUCAUUUUAUCUCAUUAGAACUAAUUUCUUUAUUUUAAUUUUUUUUUGCAUUAGAUUGACAAAAGGAUCAUGUUCUUGAAGGACACUAGCUCCUCGUUUGUAGCAACAUGGUUUCAUCGACAUCCAUAACAUCAUUAUCACACCAACAUGAUUCACACAUACAUAAAAAUAAAUUGAAAAUUGGAAAAAAGGAAAUGACAUGAAACACAUGGAAACUCGUGAAGUAUCAUCAACAUACAUCAAUCCUUCAUCAUCCCAUCACAUGCCAUAUAAACCUCACGUAACUCAUGCUCUCAGUCAUAAUUUUUUCACCCUUCAAAUUCCCUCCAAAAUCACUCAAUACUCACCUCUUUUCCCCCUCAAAAUCUUCUCACGAGGAUCACCACAUCGUCCCAAUUCUCCUCUAUAAGUAAACCUCAUUGCUCGCUCUCUAAAACACACAAGAUUCUCUACUAAAUCUCUGCAUAAAUAUCUCCCAAAUCCCUAGCAAACUUCUGCUCGAAUCUAGGCACACCUUCAACACUUGCAGAAAGAAAACAAAGAUAGAAUCAUUGGAAGAAGUUUAGAAGGAAAAGAGACGAAGAAGUAGAGAGGAUAAUACAUACCUAAAUGUAGUGAAGGUCGCAUGAGUUCUCUCCGGAAACUCCAUGUUUUCGACAAGGUUCUUUUUUCCAUUUUUCAUACCAGUUUACCUUCCUUGUUGCAUUUUUAUUAUCAAUUUUCUCUCUACUGUUAUAACUCUAUGUAAUCGUGAUGACUUAAUGAGAAUGUGGGGGCUAGGGUUAAAUUGGGAAAAGGGUAUUUUGUUUGUUUGAUUGAGAUUCUGAUUAAACUAAUGCUAGAUUCGGUUUCAGAUAGGAAAAUUGAGUGGAGUUUGUGUUAUGAGUUUUCGCAUUUGAUGUGGUUUGGGAAAAAUCUGGAAAACUGAUGAACACCUUCAUGGAGUUCAUCGUUGUGUUCAUAGGUAUUUGGCUUUUGAUCCGUUUCAGAAGAAAAAUAAAGCUUGAAAAUUGUUUAUGAAAGAGAGAGGGAGAGAGAGAAAAGAGAGAACAUGGAGUGGGGAGAGAGAAGGAGAAGUCAGUUAUGAUUUUCUCACGUGUUGCUUCCUUUUUUUUCAUCACAAUCUCACUCCCUUGGUCACAUAUGGCCUAGUUGUUAACCAUUGGAUCGUACGACCUGGUUUUCAUUGAUGUGGGUCCCACAUGGGCACCCAACUUUAUUUACCAUGCGUCUGCUUAAAGUUUUCCCUUUGAUCUUGUGACGGAAUGAUCUGAUGGAUGAGGUUGAGUCAACACAUGUUGACUACCUCAUACCUUUGUCUGGGCUUACUACACCUUUGGGCCUUCUCUAGCCCCGGGGGCCUCUUUGCUUCCAAUACCCCCUUUUUAUUUUAAUCUAUAUCUUUUUUUAUUAUUAUAUGUUAUGUUUUUUUAUCCUUGGCACAUUGUUUUGCUACUUGCAUAUACUCCUCAUAUUUCUUACACCCGUCCCCUCUUUUAGUUAUUUUAUUUUACAAUUUAUUUAUUUUAUUAAUUAAUUCUAAUUGAUUAAAUAAAUAUUUCAAAAUUAAAAAAAUACUUUGAUCUAAAGUCAAGUGGCCUUUUCAAAAAUUCACCAUCUUUUGAUCGAUUCCAAAUCAACACAUAUCAAACCUUGAUCCAUAUCAAGAUCAUUUUCAAAACCAAAAUAAAAUACCUAAUUAUUUUCAAACAUCUUUCACAAAUAAGCUGAAAAAGGAAUAGUUGGUGUUGUCUACCACUCUUUUCCCCGAUUGUUUGGCUACGAGCCGUAUAGCUCAACCAUUCGAGCAUUCAUAAUCCGUUUAAAACUCUUAACUCGGUUCAUAUUGAGCCUCUUUCAUGAUUAAAUCUUGAGUGAUCUCAUUUUCAUGAUAAAUCGGACAAAAAAGGAAUAAAUGAGUGUAUACCUCUGUAAGACACCAAUUUUGACCCUAAGAUCCCUCAUGCAAUUUCAUCAUAAGCACUAGCAUUAGAAUCAUACCUUGGCAUCCUCCUAACCCCUCUCAUUGGGUUUGUUUUGGGAGAGAUCACCAAGCACCAUGUGAUUGUAUCAUACUUGUAUAUUAUCAUUUUACUAACCAAAAUACCAAAAAUAUGUCUUUGCAUUUGCCUAACUCUUUUGUAAAUUAUCAUUUUACUAACCAAAAUACCAAAAAUAUGUCUUUGCAUUUGCCUAACUCUUUUGUAGGUAGGGCAUGAUCACAUUGAUUUAUCAAGUCCAUAUCUAGGGUUUGAGGCCCUCAUGACAAAGAUCAUUACCAUGAAUUGAUCCAAGAAUGGUUAUGAGCAUCAUAUAUGAGUUCCAUUGAUUCCUACAUGUUAUAUUGAUCAAGUUUUCUUCAAGAGUUUGGAGGUGAUUUGCCUUGGAAACCCUAGUUUGUCUGGGUAUCUUGAGUAGCUUCUCCAACAACCUAUCUCACCAAUUGAUCAAAUUUUUCAAGGGACACUUCAAAUUUCAUCAUCUUAUGCAUAUAUGAUCUACCAUGAGCCAAGAAAGUCAAAAUAAUUUAAGCUUAGCAAGUUGGUUGAGGGUGGUUGGCCAGAUGAAUUCAUCUUAUCAAAACUGGGUCUCCCUAGACCCUAUCUCCUACAAUUUUCACCAUAUGAAAAUGAUUCAAAGCGAAAAGUUACUCUAAAUGACAUUUCAAAGCCUUGCACCAUUGCUAACCACUCCCUGCAAGCUUCUCAAGUGUGAUCAGAUCGUGUUUGAAGCAAGCAACCUCAAGUUCUGCACAUCAUUGAAGGUAAUUUUCAGAAAACUUCAUCUCUUCGAUUCUCACUUAAUUCUACUCAAUUCUCUUGGAGCUUUGGUUGUCUGAAGUCCUACCAAUGUAGGCAAGAAGAUUGAGUUGCUUAUAGGUCAAAUCGAAGUAACUCAGUUGACACACCUCAAAAUUCAACUCCUCAUAUCUUUCUAUAUAUGUGGAGUUAGUUAAAAUUGAGGUCAGUUUCGUGCUCUACGCCAUUUUUUCUUUCAGAUCAUGUCCUCCUUUUUUAUUUUGGUGAUGGUUGAAGUUGGACAAAUCCCGUGAGGUCUUCCGAAGAAGACGGUCGGAGUUACAGCUCCGACGGUGCGUUGGCACGUCUCCCAGCCACAUGAUCCAUUCAAUUUGUUUUAAUCUUAGGCGUUGGUUUUGAUUACCACACAUGUGGCGCGUUGACUAUGUUCCAUCAUGGAACGCGUGUUUGUGUCCACUUCAUCUGCCACCUCAAUUAAUGAGAGAGAUCAAGUGGCUCACGUUUUUUUUGAUUUUUUUAUUUUAAUUUUUAUUCCUUUGAUUUUCAUUAAUUCAUAUUAGUUUUAAUAUUGAUCCAAAAAAUAUGAGAGUUUCACCAAAUAAUUUCAAAUAAUUUUCUCUUUCAUAUUUUGAAUUAAAAUUAUUUUUUGGAUCAUUAUUAAUAUUUUUCAUGAUUUAAUUGACUUUGUGAAUAUUUUUAAUUGUUUAAAAAUACUUUGAAGUCUUUAAAAAUUAUGAAAUUUUUUCUCCAAGGUUUUUUGACCUUGUUUGACCUAUGAUAAAUCUCAUGGUCAUUUCUUUGUUGUUUUGAUGAGGUUUUAGGAAUUUGACAAACCAUAUUUAAUUUAAAUGUCUUAUUUUAGUAUUUUUAAUUUGAAUAAAUGUCAAAUAAUUGUGUUGACCUAUUGUGAUGAUUUGUGUAAGUUUGACUCAUGUUGUUGGGCCUUAGUCAAGGUUGAUUUGACUUGUUAAGUUAAUAUCAUUGGCUUUAGGGGAUUGAUGGAAUGUACAUUCCAUCUCCCAAAAUGAAUGAAUGAUAUUAAUUUGGUAAAAGUCCUCCUUUGACCAAUUUGAGUUUUGAUUCAUUCCCUUCCCUCUUCAUCUCAUUCCCCUUCUUUAUGCAUCCAUCUCAUUUGGCCUAUGAUAUCUCUAAGUCCUAAGGCUAGUUGAUUGCAAAAUCAACAUAAGUAUGGAUGAGAUUAGGCCACCUCUUUUGCAUAUUCUUUUUUUGUGUGGUAUGUUUCAUGAGCAUAGUCCAUUAUACUAUGUCUCUAACAUGCAUUAACACAAGGGAAUUUGGGGUUUAUAUAUGGCAUUCUUGCCUAUUGGAUUGCUACCCAUCGGUCAGAUCUUUUCAACUCUUAACUUUUAAUUUUGUGCAUAUGAUUAGUCUCUUCAUCUCCUCCCCAUUUCUUUAAUUUCAAAAUCUCUUCCUCCUUUCAAAAAACUUUGUUUGAACUUGUUAUUUUCUAAACUUUGACCACUUUGCAAAAGAUAGAAACUUUGGCCUUAUGCCAUUCUAUUUUCAAACUUCUUUUCUUAAUCAAACUUGUAAGUAGACUUAACUAUACUUGACCUAAACUUUCAAAAGCCAAAAAAGAACUAACUCAUUCAAACCAUUUUCAGGCCUUUGUGUUUUUCAAGCUUAAUUUUGUUAAAAGCAAUGCAUCCACUUUGAAAUUUGUAUCAUGAACUACGAGGUUUUAAUCCCUCAUUUUCAUGUUGGUACGUAGGCACAAGUCUGAAGGUCUUGUCAAACACAAAAAUAUAAUUAAUGAAUUCUUUUCUCAUCCCCUCACUCUAUUUGUUUGUAAACAUCAUUUUGUACAAAAUACAUAUGCACACAAAAAAGGGCUCCCUAGGAGUACCUAGGACACUUUGGGUGCUAACACCUUCCCUCUAUGUAACCAACCCCCUUACCUGUAAUCUCUGACAUUUUAUUAGUUUUGAAUUGAAACUUCUACUUUUGGGUUUUGUUUGUACUUUUUCCCUUUUCCCUUGGAAACAAUAAAAGCGCGAUGGCGAUCUUUGUUAUUUGAUGUCUAGUUUAAUUCAUAGCUUGAUGAUCAUGAAUUUACCGCUACAGAAAUUAAGUGACGACUCUGAUGGAGAGUAGUUUCCAGUGGGUUUAGCCUACUUUUUUAUGUGUAUAUAAUGUGUAUAUGUGAUGUAUAUAUAUAUAUAUAUAUAUAUAUAUAUAUAUAUAUAUAUAUAUAUAUAUAUAGUAUAUAUAUAUAUAUAUAUAUAUAUAUUAUAUAUAUAUAUAUAUAUAUAUAUAUAUAUAUAUACUAUAUAUAUAUAUAUAAUAUAUAUUAGUAUUAUACUAUAUAUAUAUAUAUUUGUGUGAUAUAAUAUGCCUGUUGUGCUUGGUGAUCUCUGAGUGGUGAGAUAAGUUCUAACUCGAACUUGAGUGAAAUUAAGAUAGGAGGAUGUUAUAGUCAUGUUCGACUUGUGUGGAGUAGUCCUUAACAAGUUGGCUUGAGAUCCAUCUGCUUAGUGGAGACCCUUUUGGAUUUGGAAAUGUCACACAAGUAUUUGUGGUUAGGUAUUAAUAUCUCUAAUUUGGGUCCGAGAAGCUGAGGACCGUAGAACAUAUACCCCCUCUUGGCCUAUUUAGGACAUAGUGUGGGAAUUGUUCAAGUGUAGACUUGAUAACAGUUGUUACACAAUACUACACUCAGACGAGUUUCUCUUGAGAAUAUUAUGGGUCGAUGAGUAAGUCAUCUUAACCUGUAAUAUCCGACAUAUGGAAUUAAGACUUUGGGGACUUUUUAGAACAUGAUAUACGGGUUUUUAUCCUUAGUUCACUCCUUUGGGAUGGUUAUUACCCAGACUCCAUGCUCGUGACUCAUAACAAACCCUUGAUUCUUGGUUGAUCUAAUCAAGUCUUAUCAAUAUCAAUGGAACUUGGGUGUUGAUAAGGUGAAAACUAUAAUCCACCAAAAUGGAUGAUUGAUCUUGACAAUGACUUGAUUCAUCCCUUGACCUUUGUUUGUUUUCCUUGUGUGUGAUCCCUUAUUUGUGAUUGUUGCAUUCAUGCAUUCAUGCGCAUCAAUCUUGACAAUGACUUGAUUCAUCCCUUGACCUUUGUUUGUUUUCCUUGUGUGUGAUCCCUUAUUUGUGAUUGUUGCAUUCAUGCAUUCAUGCGCAUCAUAACAUUCAUCACACGAAAAUUUCAAGGGACUAAGGUAUUAUUUGCAAAUAUUUUCAGACCAUGGAUUGUGGACAAAGGAAUGCUAAGAAGUACAGUUUCAGAUGUCCCGACUUGAAAGAGUUAAGGAAGCUAACAUCUUUUGUAUUAGAUCCCUUGGACUUCAAACAAUGCCAUGGGAAGCUUCUAUCUAUCUUGUCUGCUGAUGUGGUUGAAGGACUUUUGAGUGUACUACUGCAGUUCUAUGAUCCUCUCUACCGAUGUUUCACUUUCCCAGAUUAUCAGCUUGUGCCUACGUUGGAGGAGUAUUCUCAUCUCUUGGGGAUACAUGUUUCUAGUAGAGUACCUUUUAGUGGAUUGGAAGAGAUUCCCAGAUCUCAUCUUAUUGCUGAAGCUCUUCACUUGAAGAAGUCUGAGAUAAAGGCUCAUUGGAUGAAGAAAGGAGGAUUGUUUGGGUUUCCAUCUAAUUUCCUCAUCAAGGAAGCUACUGUUUUUGCUCAAGCCGGUAGUGUGGAUGCUUUUGAAGCUAUCUUUGUGUUGCUCAUCUAUGGAUUAGCUUUGUUCCCUAACAUUGACGGUUUUGUUGAUAUUAACGCCAUUAGACUUUUCUUGAUUGGGAAUCAUGUGCCUACUUUGUUGGGUGAUAUGUAUUUCUCUUUGCAUAUAAGGAAUUCUAAGGGUGGUGGAACCAUUGUCUGUUGCAUUCCUUUUCUGUACAAGUGGUUUAUUUUGCACUUGCCUCAGACGUCUACUUUUGUGGAGAACAAACAAGGUCUACGGUGGUCUCAGAGACUUAUGUCUCUCACUAAUGAUGAUAUAGUUUGGUAUGAUCCUUCUUUGGGCAGUUUGGACAUUAUUGAUAGUUGUGGUGAAUUCUCUAAUGUACCUCUCAUUGGUACGAGUAAUUAACUACAACCUACUUUGGCUCGUUGUAAACUUGGUUCCCCUUGAGAGACAAACCUAAUAACACUUUGUUAGAAGGUGUUUUCUAUCAAGAGGGUAAGAUCCCCAACAUUUGAAGCAGAAGAUUUGUGCAUGCUUGGCAUAAUGUGCAUAGGAAGGGGAGAUCCGAGCUUGGUCCGUGCAAUUGUGUAGCUUUGGAAUACACUCUUUGGGUGAAGAAGAGAGCUUUGGAGUUGAAGAUGCCUUAUCCUUGUGAAAGACCUAUGUCUAUGGUUGUGGUUGAGCCAUUAACUCUCCCUAACCAAGAUGUAUAGGAGUUGAAAGACGCACUCGCCAAGAUGAAGCAAGAGAAGGAUAUGCGGGAAAAGUGUUUUCGUGCUUUAAGCAAGAAGCAUGAAGAGUUGCAGUCGGAGUCUAAGGACAAGGAUGCACUUAUUGAGCUACUUGAAGACCGAGUGACAAAGAGACAGAGAGAGCCGGAGGUUUCAUCUUCCUCUAGCAUGCAUCAACCUUCCGUUGCUUGGAAGAAGAUUGUUGAUCAACUUGUCCUCGAGAAGACUCAAAUGAAGGCUUCUUUUGAGACCGAUUAGUGCUUCAAAGGGUAAGUCUGGUGAAUCCAGCGAUUUGAAGGCUAAUGAUGAUGACGAGGUACUUCAUUUGAUCAAGAGAAGUGAGUUUAAUAUGGUGGAGUAGCUGCUCCAAACCCCCUCAAAGGUCUCAGUGUUGUCUCUGCUCAUGAACUCAGAAGCGUACAGAGAAGCACUGCAGAAAGUUCUCGAGCAAGAUUUUAUGGAACAUGAUGUUAUAGUGGAUUAGUUUGAUCAUAUUGUGGCUAACAUCAUUUCCUGCAACAAUCUUAGCUUUUGUGAUGAAGAACUCCCUGAGGAGGACAGAAAUCAUAACUUGGCUUUGCAUAUCUCUAUGAACUGCAAAGAUGAUGCUUUGUCGAAUGUGCUUGUUGACACCGGGUUUUCGUUGAAUGUACUGCCAAAGUCAACAUUGUCAAAGCUAUCAUAUCAAGGAGUGCCUAUGAGGUAUAGCGGUGUAAUCGUCAAAGCUUUUGACGGUUCAUGCAAAACAGUGAUUGGUGAAGUGGACCUUCCAGUUAAGAUAGGUCCGAGUGACUUCCAGAUUACUUUUCAAGUAAUGGAUAUCCACCCGGCCUACAGUUGCUUAUUGGGAAGGCCAUGGAUUCAUGAGGCGGGAGCUGCUACCUCCAUAUUGCAUCAUAAGCUUAAAUUUAUGAAAAAUGGAAAGCUUGUAAUCAUUGGUGGGGAGAAGGCGUUGUUGGUUAGCCACCUGUCAUCUUUCUCUUAUGUUGAAGCUGAGGAUGAGGUUGGAACUCCGUUCCAAGCCUUAUCUAUUGCUGCUGAAAAGAGAGUUGGGGCACCUAUGUCCUCAUUGAAGGAUGCAAAGACGAUUGUAGAAGAAGGCAAUGUUGAUCAGUAGGGGCGCAUGGUAGAGGUCUCCGACAACAAAGGCAGAAUCGGUCUAGGUUUUCAGUGAGGUUCAUCAAUUGCAAGGUCUGAAGAUAUGAAACUAAGCUUCCGUAGCGGAGGGUUCAUUCAUGGCAAUGAACAACACUUAGCUGUUGUGCUAGAGGAUGACGAAGAGGAAGGCUGCACCAAUUUUGUGACGCAUGGAAAGGCUUGGAACAAUUGGACUGCUGUUGAUGUUCCUAUUAUUUUGUAUCGAUCUAAGUAAUUGCUUUUAUAUGUUUUCAAAAUCCUUUUCCUAUGCCUAAGGGAGAAGCGAACAUUGUUUGGGCAUUUUCAAAUUGAUCAUUAAUAAAAUUAGUUCUAUUCAUCCACAUCUAUGAUGUUUGUUUUUACUUUUUGCUUUAUUCUGAAAAUGGUAAUCACAAAAACAUAAAUAAACAAUAUAAUUGUCCAUCUGCAUAAUAUUUGGUCACAAAUUCACUUUCUCUAAAAUCAAAAUAUCAAUCAUUAUGCAGGUUGGUUCCUAACCCAUUGAAUACAAUCCUUCUCCUUCUCCAAAUUUUGAAUUCCCUGUGUUUGAGGCCGAGGAGGAAAGUGAUGAAGAAGUGAGUGAUGAAUUAUCUCGUCUUCUUGAGCAUGAUGAAAAAGCCAUUCAGCCGUUCGAAGAGAAGAUUGAGUUAGUCAACUUGGGUUCCGAGGAUGAUAUGAAGGAAGUCAAGAUUGGGUCUUGACUGUGUCCAGAUGUUAAGAAGGGGUUGAUUGAUCUUCUUCAAGAGUAUUCAGAUGUGUUUGCUUGGUCCUAUCAAGACAUGCCUGGUUUAGAUUCUGAGAUAGUGGAGCAUAGAUUUCCGUUAAAGCCAGAAUGCCCGCCAAUCAAGCAAAAAUUGAGAAGAAUGUAUCCUGGUAUGGCAGUGAAGAUCAAAGAAGAAAUGCAAAAGCAUAUUGACGCCGGUUUCCUUGUGACUGCUGAGUAUCCGCAAUGGAUGGCCAAUAUUGUGCCUGUGCCGAAGAAAGAUGGAAAAGUCCGCAUGUGUGUUGACUAUAGAGAUUUGAAUAAAUCCAGUCCGAAAGAUGAUUUCCCUUUGCCGCACAUUGAUAUGUUGGUGGACAAUACUGCUAAAUUCAAAGUCUUUUCGUUUAUGGAUGGAUUUUCUGGAUAUAAUCAGAUCAAGAUGGCACCCGAAGAUAUGGAGAAGACCACAUUCAUUACAACUUGAGGAACAUUCUAUUAUAGAGUGAUGCCUUUUGGUUUAAAGAAUGCUGGUGCAACUUACCAAAGAGCAAUGACUACUCUUUUUCAUGAUAUGAUGCAUAAAGAGAUUGAAGUUUAUGUCGAUCACAUGAUUGCUAAAUCAAUUGAUGAAGAGGAACAUGUUGAGCAUUUUUUGAAGCUAUUCCAACAUUUGAGGAAGUAUAAACUCCGCUUGAAUCCCAAUAAGUGUACUUUUGGUGUUCGUUCUGGUAAGUUGUUGGGCUUUAUUGUCAGCGAGAAGGGUAUUGAAGUUGAUCCUGAGAAUCCCAAUAAGUGUACUUUUGGUGUUCGUUCUGGUAAGUUGUUGGGCUUUAUUGUCAGCGAGAAGGGUAUUGAAGUUGAUCCUGCCAAGGUCAAAACAAUACAAGAGAUGCCUGCGCCCAAAACUAAGAAGCAAGUCAGAGGGUUUCUCGGCCGCUUGAAUUAUAUCUCAAGAUUCAUUUCACACAUGACUGCCACAUGUGCGCCUAUAUUCAAGCCUCUUCGGAAAGAUCAAUCUUGUGAUUGGACCGAAGAUUGCCAGAAAGCUUUUCAUAGUAUCAAGGAAUAUUUGCUUGAACCUCCAAUUUUGUCUCUACCUGUUGAAGGAAGACCAUUGAUCAUGUAUUUAACUGUGCUUGAAGACAGUAUGGGUUGCGUUCUAGGUCAGCAAGAUGAGUCUGGAAAGAAAGAAUUUGCAAUUUACUACCUCAGUAAAAAUUUCACCGACUGUGAGACUCGGUAUUCUAUGCUUGAGAAGACUUGUUGUGCAUUUGCUUGGGCUGUUAAGCAUAUGCAUCAAUAUAUGUUAAAUCAUACCACUUGGUUGAUAUCCAAAAUGGAUCCAAUCAAGUAUAUAUUUGAGAAGCCUGCUUUAACCGGGAGAAUUGCCCAUUGGAAGAUGUUGUUAUCAGAGUAUGAUAUGGAAUACCGAUCUCAGAAAGCGAUCAAAGGUAAUAUCUUGGCUGACCAUUUGGCUCACCAACCAAUUGAAGAUUACUAGUUAGUACAAUAUGACUUUCCUGAUGAAGAGAUCUUGUACUUGAAAAUGAAAGACUGUGAUGAACCAUUGCUUGAAGAAGUGCCAGAACCUGAUUCCCAUUAGGGCGUAGUAUUUGAUGGAGUUGUUAAUCAGUAUGGUAACGACAUUGUGGCGGUGAUUAUUACUCCUCAAGGCACACAUUUUCCCUUUACAACUAGAUUGACUUUCAAGUGUACAAAUAACAUGGCAGAGUAUGAAGCUUGCAUUAUUGGGCUUGAAGAGGCCAUUGAUCUCAGAAUCAAGUAUUUAGAUGUCUUUGGCGAUUCAACUUUGGUUGUAAAUCAAAUCAAAGGUGAAUGGGAGACGAAUCAACCCGGUUUGAUACCAUAUAGAUAUUAUGCGAGGAGGAUUUCAAAUUUCUUUACAAAAGUUGAGUUUCAUCAUAUCCCUCGAGAUGAAAACCGGAUGGCCGAUGCUCUUGCAACGUUGGCGUCUAUGAUUGUUGUGAAGUAUUGCAAUGAAGUUCCCAAUUUGUCUGUGAUGCGUCUUGAUAGGCCAACUCAUGUGUUUACUGUUGAAGAAAUCAAAGAUGAGAAGUCAUGGUAUUACGACAUCAAGUGUUUCCUCCAAAGUCAGAUUUACCCGGCUGGGGCAUCUUUGAAAGAUAAGAAGACUUUGAGAAGAUUAGUCGGCAAUUUUUACUUGAAUGGUGAUAUACUAUACAAGAGAAACUUCGACAUGGUUUUGCUCAGAUGCGUGGAUAGACACGAGGCAGACUUGUUGAUGACUGAAGUGCAUGAAGGUUCCUUUGGUACUCAUUCCAAUGGACAUGGGAUGGCGAAGAAGAUGUUGCGAGCAAGUUACUAUUGGCUGACAAUGGAAUCUGACUGUUGCAAGUUUAUGAAGAGAUGCCACAAGUGUCAAAUAUAUGCUGAUAAGAUUCAUGUUCCUCCGACAUUAUUGAAUGUUAUCUCUUCCCCAUGGCCUUUCUCCAUGUGGGGAAUUGAUAUGAUUGGCAUGAUUGAGCCCAAAGCGUCGAAUGAACAUCGUUUCAUUUUGGUGGCAAUUGAUUACUUCAUAAAAUGGGUUGAAGCGGCAUCAUAUGCGAAUGUGACCAAGCAAGUGGUUGUGAGGUUUAUCAAGAAUCAGAUCAUAUGUCACUAUGGUGUGCCAAGUAAGAUCAUUACUGAUAAUGGACCAAACUUGAAUAAUAAUAUGGUGGAAACUCUUUGCAAAGACUUCAAGAUUGCACAUCAUAAUUCUUCUCCCUACAAACCCAAGAUGAAUGGGGCUGUUGAAGCUGCAAAUAAGAACAUCAAGAAGAUUAUCCAGAAGAUGGUUGUCACAUAUAAGGAUUGGCAUGAGAUGCUUCCAUUUGCUUUGCACGGGUAUCGAACAUCCAUCCGCACUUCAACAGGGGCAACCCCUUUCUCUCUUGUUUAUGGCAUGGAAGUUGUACUCCCAAUAGAGGUGGAGAUUCCUUCAUUACGUGUGCUCAUGGAAGCCAAGUUGACUGAGGCUUAAUGGUGUCAGACCAGGUUUAACCAGCUGAAUUUGAUAGAAGAGAAGAGAUUAACUGCUAUGUGCCAUGGUUAUUUAUAUCAGCAAAGAAUGAAGAAAGCUUUUGAUAAGAAGGUCAAACCUCGUAUGUUCAGAGAAGGUGACCUUGUGCUCAAGAAGAUUUUAUCUUUCAAACCAAAUUCUAGGGGCAAAUGGACUCCUAAUUAUGAAGGCCCAUAUGUUGUUAAGAGAGUCUUUUCAGGUGGUGUUUCGAUUCUUACAACUAUGGAUGGUGAAGAGUUCACUCGUCUUGUGAACGCAGAUGCAGUCAAGAAAUACUUCGCCUAAAAAAAGGAAAAGAACAUCUGGCUAAGUUGAAAACCCGAAAGGGCGGCUUAGGCAAAAAUGAGCGUCUCGGUGGACUAAAAACCCGAAAGGGCGAUCCGGGCAAAAGUUAGAGACCUAAAACAGAAAGAACUUUCCCGAUAAAUUGAGUACCCCACCUUGGGGAAGCUUAUGCAAAAAUUAGGGAUUAUGGCAAGUAACUGCAUUCUGUUGAUCUUCAAUUUGGAGAAACUUUGAGCACAAGGGUUGACAUCAAUUCAUCAUCCCCGGUAGCGGCCGAAAGCACAACAGACAUCAAGAGUGGGUAGAAGGAUUAAUGGUCAUUUGUAUUCAAUGUAACCCUUUUCCAUGUAAAUUGCCAUUUUUAACAUUGUAAAAAUCUAUGGAGUCUUGUCAUUUAUAGACUACCAUUCCAUUAAAUAAAGUUGAGCUUUUAUCCAAUUAUUUUUACUCCUAUUUACUUCAGCCAUAAGUUUUAAUUUUUAUUAUGAUCAUUUUUAAAUUUAAAAUUUUAAUCAAAAUCAUUUUUCUUAAACGUAUAAAAGCAAGAAUUUUUCAAAGCAAAUUUAAAAGAAAUAUCAACAACAUUUCAAAAGCAUCAAGUUUUCAGUGUGAAGCAUUAAAGGUUCCACAAGUAGUUAACCCUUCAGGUUUCCCAACUAAGUUGGUUGAUUCAGUACCCUGAAGAGUUGAGUUUGAUCCCAGACAGGUUUGUGUAUUCAUCAUCAGUUUUGAUCCUUAGUGGAGUAUUUUGAUUCCCCAGUAGAUCGCGUUGGUGUCUCCAUCAGUCGCCAUCUGACUCGCUCCCAGUUAGAGUUUCCUCCUGGUUUCUGAGCAGCUAUCUUGCAUUUAUCCUAUGUAUGGUUGUCUCCCAUUUAGCAUGGUGUUGACCUAAAAUUCCCCGCAGACUCGAUAAUGUUUCCUUUCCUCAACAGAUCUCUUCCUUCCCCAGCUAGAGUUGAUCUUUUGGGAUGUGGAUCUCUCUGUUCUCUAGCAGUUAUUUCCCUUUUGUGGAUUGACCGAGGAUUUUACAGAUGAUUCAAAUUUUGCGACACCCUUGUAUCCUUUGCGAUCAUUUUGUCAGCAUAAUCAUCAUAUAUAUACGCAUAUACACUCAGGUAAGUUCAUAUUUGCAUAUUUGCAUCAUUCAUAUUUAUUGAAUCAUUGUUUGAGAUUCUUAUGCUCUGUUAUGGUGGUACUUUAUCCCCAUACAAGUUCGGUGUCCGUCCUCUCUCAAUUAUAGAAGGUCGACCUUUUAAGCAGAAAGACUUUAACCUUUCUCCUUUCCCCACUGAGUUAUUUCCUUGUGGAUGAUCAUUGUUUCAGUUUUUCCUCCCCAGUCGAUUAUCUGGAUGGAACCACUCCCCUUGAGAUAUAUCCUCAUUGGGUUGAGUCUUGAUUGACCGCUUCUUUCUAGCUCUUACCUAGAUAGAUGCUUUGAGUCUCCUAAGAGUUUAUUACCCAGUAGCUGGUAAUAUUCUUCUUAGUUUGCAGUUUGUUACUUCUUUCCCAAUACCCGGCAAAAGUAUCCCUGUUUUUCUCCUCAGUAGAGUCCACAUUGGAUCUAUUCCCCCAUGAAGUAUAUCCUUGAUAUGUUUAUCCUAACAGGUGACAGAUAUCUUUCUUUCCCCUGCCUGAGUUUAUCCUUGAUAUGUCCAUCCUAAUCGAUGACGAAUACUCUCAUCUUUGGUAUUCUACCCAGUAAAAAGGUAGUUGUAAUCCCUAUUUUGUUCCUCAGAGAGUUAAUUCUUGAUAUGUUCAUUCUAACCGAUGACGUGUUUCCUUCUCUUUGCGGUCUUCUACCCAGUAACCGGUAGUUGUAAAUCCUGCUUUUUUUCCCCUUUAUAGAGUCUAUCCUUGAUAUGUUCAUCCUAACUGAUGACGGAUAUCCUCUCAUGGUAUUCUAUCCAGUAACUGAUAGAUGUAAUUCCUAUUUUCUCUCCUCAACAGAGUCUAUCCUUGAUAUGUUCAUCUUAACUGGUGACGAAUUUUCUCUUUGAUGGUAUUCUGUCCAGCAUUCGAUAGAUGUAAUUCCUACUUUUUAUUCAGUUGGUAUAUCCUUGAUAUGUUCAUCCUAACCGAAAACGGGUAUCCUCCUUGACAUUCCCAGGCAAGGUUGUCCUUGAUAUGUUCAUCCUAACCGAUGACGGAUUUUCUUCCCUUUUGAGUUUAUCCUGGAUAUGUUCAUCCUAAUCGAUGACGGAUACUCUCAUCUUUGGCCUUCUACCCAGUAACUGGUGUAAGACCCUAAUUUUUCCCCUAAGAUCCCUCAUGACAUCAUGUUAUUGCACAAGUGCAUUGCCUCAAGGAUCAUAGCAUGUUUGGCUCCUUAACCCUAGGGUUGAGACUUGUUUGAGUGAUUUGAGAUCACCAAGCAUGCUUGCAUUGUAUGUUAUUGAUUUUCUUAUUUGAUUACUAACCAAAAGCACAAAAAUAUGUCACUAACUCUUUUUGUUUUGAAGCUCAAGUGGUCAUGUGCUCCACAAUGCUCCUAAGCCCAAUGAAAUGGCUAGAUGAAGAUGAGAAAAAGCAUGGCAAUGGUCCACGAAGUUCCUAAUAAUCAUAUAUGUCUCCCAAGUAUCUCAAUUUUCCAAUUAUAUCAAGAUAACCAGAAAGGUUUGAAGAUUGUUUCCCAAGGAAACCCUAAUUUCACAAUGCUUUGACUAUGCCUUGCCCAUGAAGCAAUCUCAACCUCUGAUCAAAUUUAAUCAAGGUAAGUUCUUUCAUUUAUCAUUUUAUGCAUAUAUGAGCCUAUUUGAGGCCCCUCAAUCAUUUAUUCAUCAAGGUUGGAAGUUUGACUUUGAAAAAGUUGACCAGUCAAGUCAUCUGACAAAGCUGAGGUUCAAUGAGCUAUAACUUUUAAUGUGUUUGUCAAAUGAAGAUGACCCCAAAAUAAACAAUGUUCCUAAUAACCUUUUGAACAAAUUUCAUGUUCAACCAAAAUCCAUUUGAAUCUUGGAAGGUCAUCAUUAAGUUCAAAACAUUAUAGGUCAUUUUGAUUGAAACCCUAAUUUUGGGUCAACUUGCCAAGGGCACAACUUUCUCAAUUUUCAUGAUUUUGAGGUGGGACAAAAGUCAUUGGUAAGCUUGAUAUGUAUACUUAAAAUUUAUGUUGUACAAAAUUUCAUAAUCCUAAAUAAAUUAAAUGUGAUAUUGCAAAACAUUAUAGGUCAUCUUGGACCUAAUUCAUUGAAUUUGAAAAAGUAUCCAACUUCAAAUGCCCAUAACUUUGUCAUACAAAAUCCAAAUGAUGCAAACUUUGAGUCUAAAUUGACUAUCUUGAAAAGAUAUACAACUUUGAUGUUGGAGAAGUUUUCAUUUGUAUCUUUUAUCAUGAGGACAUAGGGGUUUGAUUAAGCUUACUUCGGUUAAUUUUUUAUAAAAUGAUUUGAACAUGUUUUACACUUAAACUUUCCAAGCCAGUUUUGAACAAUUUGAACAUGUCAAAUGGUUUUUUGCCCAACAUGACUUUUGUUCCUUAUUUCAAAAGCUUUCUAACCAUUACUCACAAUAGUCAUUUGGAUAUACCAUUUGGGAGAUUCAAAUUUCUUUUCAUUUAUGUGCAUUCUUGAUAUUUUAUGUUAAAGCUUGAAGUGCAAGCAUUCUUCAUUUCAUGUGCAUGACCACAUGUUCUCCAUAUGAUCUCAGCAAGCUCUUUCAGCCAUUCAUGGGCCUCUCACACGUCCACAAAGGCCCAUGCACUCAAAAUUUCAAAUCUCAUGCACAUGAGCAAAGUGUGAAUUCAGAUGCAUUCACCUAUAAAUAAAGGCUUCCUCUCCCUCAUUUCAUAACCUUUUGGAGAUCCCAUAUGUUGCUGAACUGAAACCACACCCUCAUCAAAGGAAUCAUUCACCAUUUUUUCAAAUAUUUCGAGCUUGAAAGUCAACAACAUUAGUUGAGUUUCCAAGCUAGAUUCCUUAGCCAAUCAUCUUCCCUAUAUUCAGAGAUCAAAGAGGAGAAAAAAGCUUGAAGGAUUCCUGGCCAGAAGCUCACCAUUUGGAAGGUAUAAACUCAAACUGUUUGGAUCUGAAACUCCUAAUUCAAUGUAGUAUUCUGGUGUUUUUGUGGUUUUCUGAAGUCCUCAUACUUGAGGCAAGCUUUUGGUGUAUUCAAUUUGCCAUUUCAUGAACAAUCCGUGUGGACAUCAUGAUUUUCUCCUUCAUCUUUCUCUCAACAUAGGAAGAAUGAGAGGAAUCUAAUGGUACAGUGAUGAUCUACAUCACACGAGCUUCAUUUCCAUGCCUUUGUUUUUCAUUUUCGAUGAGAUCCAUUUUCCUGCAAUUCUGGCCGGAAUCUGUUGGUUGAUCAGAGAAGAUGGUGGUUUCCACCGCCACCACCACGUGUGUUGCUCAUGGCCCUUGGAUCUCUCCCUCACGAUCUAAUCUCAUGCGUUCAUUUCAAUUACUUCUUUUAAUGCAUUGUGUUUUACUGUCGACUUGAGACCAACGUGCAUCAUCAUAUCCAAGUCGUGCAUCGUGCCACGUCAAUUAAUGAAUUGGAUCUGGUGGCUCAGCAUUUUUCGUUUAUUUCAUUUUCUUUUAAUUUUCUUUUAAUUCAUUCUAUUUUCAAUAAUUCAUUAAAAAUUCAAAUGAAGUCAGAAAAAUAUGACCAACUUUCAAAUUUUUCUUGAAAAAUCUAGUUUCAUAUUAUGAUUUUUAAUUAUUUUUGUGACUUCACUUGAUAUUUUUUUUGAAUUACUUGGUUUUUAAUGAUUUUAAUUCAUUUUAAAAUACUUUCUGACUUUUAAAAAAUACAAAAAUAUUUCUAUAGCAUCUAUGGAUCAUGAUAAGUCAAUGAAAAAUAGUCUCAACAAUUUCUUGUUUGUUUUGAAAUUAUUUGAGAUUUUAAUUCAUAUUAUGCUAUUUUUGGUUGUUUUUAAUUGGUUUUAAUUACUUUCUGAUUUUAAAAAUUUGUGAGAAAAUUAGUCAAAGUUUGUUUGACUAUGUUGAACCUAUGAGAAUUUAAUUGGACUCAUUGAAGUUAUUUUGAAUUGAAUUUGAGGUUCAACUUUGUUUGUUUAUUUUUUAUAUCAAAGUUUGUUUGACUAUGUUGAACCUAUGAGAAUUUAAUUGGACUCAUUGAAGUUAUUUUGAAUUGAAUUUGAGGUUCAACUUUGUUUGUUUAUUUUUUAUUUGUAUUUUCUUUUAAUUCAAAAAUUACCAAAAAAAUAUCAUUGACUUCUUGACUUGUUAUAUUCAUUCCUCUUCUGUUUGAUGUUGAUCAAGGUUAAAUUGAUUCAACUUUGAUCAAAUUCAUUGGAUCUUGUGGUUUGAGAGUCCUUAAGGGUCAUCACCUAGAAAGAUGAAUGAAUUUGAUCAAGGAUGAGUUAUCCCUUGAUCAAUUGAGAUUGAUUGUUGACUUCUUACCCCUCCCUUUCAUCUUCAUCCUUUUCUUUUUCUUAAUGGCCAAUAAGUUAAAGUCUUGAGGUUGGUCUUGACAAAUAAGAAGUUUAAUCUUCUUUGAUUCAAACCAAACUCAACUUGAUCCAUGAUCAAGUGAGUUAUUUUGUGUCAAAGAUAGGUUACUUCUUGGUCAAGCAAAUAACCAAAAGUCAAUACAAGGCCCUUCCCCUUUUGUUUGGCAUGACAAGUUUAUGGAGCUUGGCUUACUAGUCAUGACCUCUAACUUGUGUUCUUUGCCUAUAUUCUUAUUGACCAGCCUCAGAUAGGUGUGGCUAUUAUAUUAUUCCAUUUACGAUUGCUUAACAUAAUGCUACAUUGUCUUAUGACAAGCUAACAUAACUCUACUAACUACUAACUUUAAUUUGAGCUUUUAAAUUCUUGUCAUUUACUUUUAAUGUCAUUUAUUUCUUGCUCAUUAUUCAUCUUGAUUUUUAUUUUGCUCACCUGAGCACAUAUUUUAUGUUUAUGUCAUUUUUCUUUUGCUCAUUUGAGCCAAUUAUUGUAUAAAAAUAUAUUGCUAUUUUAUGUUGUAUUGUGUUUGUUUUAAUGUGAACCAAAAUGCAAAAAGAGAAAGGACUUAGAAUUAGGAUUCACCCAUACUUAAAGGAGUUCAAGAGCAAUUAGGCCUCAUGCAUUUAGCAUGCAAAAUGUGUUGAAGAGAAACUAGGCCUCAUGCCUUUAGAAUGCUAAAAUUCAAAGUUGACCUCAAAGGACUUCUCCUCAAACUUAUUCUUUGUCCAUUCCCUUUAUUAUGUUAUGAGCUUUUUUUGAUGUGUGCUUUUGUGUGAUAGGAACCUCAUCUAAAGAUUGUGAAAAAAGGACCAUUUUCAUGAGUAGCCAAGUUAAGAGCCAAGCUAAAUGGAGAUCCUAGGAGCUUGAAUUCAAAUCAUUGAUUGCUUGUUUUGUGUGCUAAAU
rnacentral:lncRNA from 1 species